rnacentral:rRNA from 1 species
GUGGGGAAUAUUGGUCAAUGGGCGCAAGCCUGAACCAGCCAUGCCGCGUGCAGGAAUGAGGCCCUAUGGGUCGUAAACUGCUUUUGCUGCGGAGCAAUAAGUGCCACGUGUGACACGAUGAGAGUACGCAGCGAAUAAGCAUCGGCUAACUCCGUGCCAGCAGCCGCGGUAAUACGGAGGAUGCGAGCGUUAUCCGGAUUUAUUGGGUUUAAAGGGUGCGUAGGCUGUUCGUCAAGUCAGUGGUGAAAUGCCGGGGCUCAACCCCGGAGCUGCCAUUGAUACUGUCGGGCUUGAAUCCUGCUGCCGUGGGAGGAAUGAGUAGUGUAGCGGUGAAAUGCAUAGAUAUUACUCAGAACACCGAUUGCGAAGGCAUCUCACGAAACAGGCAUUGACGCUGAGGCACGAAAGCGUGGGGAUCAAACAGG